rnacentral:rRNA from 1 species
UUAUGGCUCAGAACGAACGCUGGCGGCAGGUCUUAGGCAUGCAAGUCGAACGGAUGACAGAGAGCUUGCUCUCUGAAGUCAGUGGCGCACGAGUGAGUAACGCGUGGGAAACUGCCCUUCACUGGGGAAUAACGUUUGGAAACGAACGCUAAUACCGCAUACGCCCGCAAGGGGAAAGAUUUAUCGGUGAUGGAUGUGCCCGCGUUGGAUUAGCUAGUUGGUGGGGUAAUGGCCUACCAAGGCGAUGAUCCAUAGCUGGUCUGAGAGGACGAUCAGCCACGCUGGAACUGAGACACGGUCCAGACUCCUACGGGAGGCAGCAGCUAAGAAUAUUGGGCAAUGGAGGAAACUCUGACCCAAGCCAUGCCGCGUGAAUGAAGAAGGCCUUCGGGUUGUAAAGUUCUUUUAGUCAUGAAGAUGAUGACAGUAGUGACAGAAAAAGCACCGGCUAACUUCGUGCCAGCCGCGGC